UACGUAGGGGGCAAGCGUUGUCCGGAAUCAUUGGGCGUAAAGCGCGCGUAGGCGGCCCGGUAAGUCCGCUCUGAAAUCCCCGGGCUCAACCCGGGAACUGCGUCCGAUACUGGGAGGCUUGAAUCCGGGAGAGGGAUGUGGAAUUCCAGGUGUAGCGGUGGAAAUGCGUAGAUAUCUGGAGGAACACCGGUGGCGAAGGCGGCAUCCUGGACCGGUAUUGACGCGUGACGGCGCGAAAGCCAGGGGAGCAAAGCGGGAUUAGAAACCCGGAGUACG
rnacentral:rRNA from 1 species